rnacentral:ncRNA from 2 species
UAAUAAUUAGGUGAUGAAGUUCGCCUUUAAAUAUCCUUUGGGAUUGAUGGCUUCUACUAUAUG